CAGGCUUCAUGGUGAUCAGGCUUGCGUUUGAUUCUUGUGAAGCCUUGUCGGUGUUUGUUCAUUGCGACCCAUUCAGGGUCUCAUGGACUUUUCAUCGGCACAACAACAAACCCCGGCACGGCAUGUGCCAAGGAAACCUAAACUAAAGAGUGACACGUACCAUGAUUACCCGCUUGCGGUGUUAGAAUUGGACGUGGCUACUUGGUAUUCAUAAACGACUCUCGGCAACGGAUAUCUCGGCUCACGCAUCGAUGAAGAACGUAGCAAAAUGCGAUACUUGGUGUGAAUUGCAGAAUCCCGUGAACCAUCGAGUUUUUGAACGCAAGUUGCGCCCGAAGCCAUUUGGCCGAGGGCACGCCUGCCUGGGCGUCACGCAUCACGUCACCCCCACCAAGUCUCCUCUCAUGGGAUGCAUUGGAUGGUGGUGGAGAAUGGCCUCCUGUGCUCUUUUGGCGCGGUUGGCUAAAAUAGGAGUCCCCAUUGACGGACGCACGACUAGUGGUGGUUGAUAAGACCCUCGUCUUGUGUCGUGCGGNUAUAGUCGUAAGGGAAGACGCUUUUGAAUACCCCACAUGUGUUGUCUUUUGGUGUCACUUUGAUCGCGACCCCAGGUCAGGCGGGACUACCCGCUGAGUUUAAGCAUAUCAAUAAGCGGAGGAAAAGAA
rnacentral:rRNA from 1 species